rnacentral:rRNA from 1 species
GAUGAACGCUGGCGGCGUGCCUAAUACAUGCAAGUCGAGCGAACAGACGAGGAGCUUGCUCCUCUGACGUUAGCGGCGGACGGGUGAGUAACACGUGGAAAACCUACCUAUAAGACUGGGAUAACUUCGGGAAACCGGAGCUAAUACCGGAUAAUAUAUUGAACCGCAUGGUUCAAUAGUGAAAGACGGUUUUGCUGUCACUUAUAGCUGGAUCCGCGCCGCAUUAGCUAGUUGGUAAGGUAACGGCUUACCAAGGCAACGAUGCGUAGCCGACCUGAGAGGGUGAUCGGCCACACUGGAACUGAGACACGGUCCAGGCGCCUGCGGGAGGCAGCAGUAGGGAAUCUUCCGCAAUGGGCGGAAGCCUGACGGAGCAACGCCGCGUGAGUGAUGAAGGUCUUCGGAUCGUAAAACUCUGCUAUUAGGGAAGAACAAAUGUGUAAGUAACUAUGCACGUCGUGACGGUACCUAAUCAGAAAGCCACGGCUAACUACGUG